ACGGCCGCGGUAUAUUGACCGUGCAAAGGUAGCGCAAUCACUUGUCUUUUAAAUAGAGACCUGUAUGAAUGGCUAGACGAGGGCUUAACUGUCUCCCCCUUCCAGUCAGUGAAAUUGAUCUAUCCGUGCAGAAGCGGGUAUAAUACUACAAGACGAGAAGACCCUUUGGAGCUUAAGGUACAAAAUUCAGCCAUGUUAAGCAACUCCAUAGAAAGCAAGAACUUUAUGGCCAUGAAACUUUACCUUCGGUUGGGGCGACCACGGAGGAAAAGCAAGCCUCCGAGUGGACUGGGCCAAACCCCUAAAGCUAAAAGAGACAUCUUUAAGCCGCAGAACAUCUGACCAACAAUGAUCCGACCAAGAGGUCGAUCAACGGACCAAGUUACCCUAGGGAUAACAGCGCAAUCCUCUCCCAGAGCCCAUAUCGACGAGGGGGUUUACGACCUCGAUGUUGGAUCAGGACAUCCUGAUGGUGCAGCCGCUAUUAAGGGUUCGUUUGUUCAACGAUUAAAGUCCU
rnacentral:rRNA from 1 species